AUCCUAGUGUAUCUUGGUCAUCUUCUUAAUCUACAAUACUAUACCCCUGAUCUUUUCUGGAAGAACUUGAAACAAGAGGGUCAACCCAUCAACAUCUUAGAACACCAGGACGCCUCCAGUUUUUUCUCAAGCUUAACUGAUCAAAUAGACAAGACUCAUAAAAAAAGAAGUCACAGUAAAGUGUUUGAGGAGAUUUGGUAGACAGUUGUCGGACCAAAUCGUAAGUCACAGCUGCGAACACAGCAAGGUUUGACAACCCUCCAGCUCUCAGUGUUGGGGUCUAAGAGUCUCACUGAGAGUUCCCAGGAAUUUGUGCAAGAAAUAGUAGAAUUAGUGAAUAGAAGAGAAUUUACAAUGACAGGGGUAGUCCUUGGUAAAGAAGGGUGGGGAGAGGUCAAAGUGGCUGGUUUUUGUGGUCUCAAGGUUGCUGCAAAGUGUCUCUACGAAAUCGUCAUCUCUCCUCAUUAAGGUUGCUGCAAAGUGUCUCUACGAAAUUGUCAUCUCUCCUCAUUAAGGUUGCUGCAAAGUGUCUCUACGAAAUCGUCAUCUCUCCUCAUA